AACGAACGUUAGCGGCGCGCCUAACACAUGCAAGUCGAGCGAGAAAGGGCUUCGGCCCCGGUAAAGCGGCGCACGGGUGAGUAACACGUAGGUAAUCUGCCCCUGAGCGGGGGAUAACCUUCCGAAAGGAGGGCUAAUACCGCAUGGGACCACGACGACGCGAGUCGUUGAGGUGAAAGCCGGCCUCUGCAUGCAAGCUGGCGCUUGGGGAUGAGCCUGCGGCCCAUCAGCAGUUGGUAGGGUAAUGGCCUACCAAGGCGUAGACGGGUAGCUGGUCUGAGGGGAUGAUCAGCCACACUGGAACUGAGACACGGUCCAGACUCCUACGGGAGGCAGCAGUGGGGAAUCUUGCGCAAUGGGCGAAAGCCUGACGCAGCGACGCCGCGUGAGUGAUGAAGGCCUU
rnacentral:rRNA from 1 species